ensembl:lncRNA
AUUAUUUGUUUGACUUACUUUCAGUUGUAAUAAAUUAUUUGGGUUAUUUUGGAAAGCGGACUCCUCCUGUUCUUUUGUCAUGGCCAUUGAGCCGGGUUAUGACAAAAUGGGGGCUCGUCCAGCUGUUUUGUUCCCGUUUUGGUUGCAAUGUGGACUCGGCGUGGAUCCUCGGCUGCAGUUUGUUUACGCAGGUAGCAGGAGAGUCAGUUAACAGGGAAACCGAACCAGUCUGUGAAGCCUGUUCCUCUGCAACCGAUACCAGCCGUGCUGGGAUUGGCCAGGUAAAAUCACUGAGAUGUGGAGCACCUGGGCCU